GGAUUUGUGGUCGUCCUUGUAACCCAUGUACCCACAUGCUGGAAGAAGAUAAAAUGCCCUGCCAAUACCUAGGACUUCCAGAGCCGAAGAACAGCAACAAGCCAUCUGACUGCCCGAUAGCACCCGAGGGCUCCGUACGGUCAGGCAUGGGACGACGAUGGCACCUCUGUGUUAUUUUGUUUUUAGGAUUUAUCGGCGCAAUUGAUGCCAGGCAUUAUCCUCACCAGCCAUUCAGGGUCUUAUACCAUUGGAAAGAAGACAUGUAUCUUCCUCGCUGGCUCCGCUGAAGGGAAGUAGUGACAGGUAUCACCUUUGCAGUGCUCCUCGGCUUGGGAGCCGCCAGCACGGCUACAGGCGUUUCAGCCUUCAUUACCCAGCAUCAAGGGCUUUCUCAACUGCAAGCAACCGUUGACGAGGACCUGCAGAAAAUUGAGGAAUCCAUCUCCCUCUUAGAAAAAUCCCUCUCCUCUUUCUCAGAGGUCGUCUUGCAGAACAGACGAGGCAUGGACCUCUUGCUCAUGCAACAGGGAGGCCUGUGCGCUGCCCUAAGAGAGGAAUGCUGUUUUUACGUGGACCAUACAGGGGUCGUGCGGGACUCAAUGGCCGAACUGAGAGAAAGGCUGGCCCAAAGGAAGAAAGAGAGAGAAGGACAACAGGGAUGGUUUGAGUCAUGGUUCUACCAGUCCCCAUAGCUAACCACCCUUAUCUCCACUCUCAUAGGCCCUUGUGUUAUGAUACUUUUGGCAUUAGUCUUUGGUCCCUGUAUUUUAAAUAAGUUAGUGUCGUUUGUUAGUAAUUUGUCAGUUAACAUUAUGCUAGUUGAACGCCAACAACUGCUUUAAGUGAAGUUUUUGAACACGUUAACAGCAAUAUAAGAGUUUACAGGCCCAAGUUCUAGCGGCUCAGUAAUUUGCAGUUCCAUGGCUUUGGAUCUGUGACAUUCGUUUUAUGUAUGUUACUACAUUUGGUUAGGCAUAGAGAAGGGGGGAAAUGUGGGAGGAUAGGAACAGGCGAUCGGAAGAUUGUGUGCUGUAUGGAAAGAUGGGACGCCCUCGCCUCCGUUUGUUAGUAUUACCAUGAAUUUACUGAGCCAGCCAAGACUGAGUGGCUUGUGACACAAGCACACGGAAGUGAUGUAACCCCAGGCUAUAUAAUGCUGUGCAGCUCGGAAAUAAACAUCAUUUUACUGUCCA